GGUCUCAAUUUGGCGUAAUCUCAGUGUAGUUGAAGACAACUGUAUUUGUUCACCUCUUUUCGUUAAAAUGCAGAAUGAGCGAAGUUGGAUGUAUAACAAGAAUUCAGGUAUAAUGCAGAAUGAGGAAGAGGAGGCGGAGGAGGAGGAUGAUGAUAAUCAUAAUGAUGACUUUGAUUUUUGAUGAUGGGGUUGGUAAGGCGAACUAAAGGUCUGAGAAAAAAGCAAAGGAGAUUUGAGGGGGUGCAAAGCUUUUGUGGCAGACGAAGAUGACUUGAUGUAUUCUUAGUUUAUUUACCUCCUUGGAUGGAUGAUGGAUUUAUAUAACAUUUGAUUGUUGAACUUUAUAAUAUUUUCUAGAAGUUUGAACAAGAUAGAUCUUGUAAAAUUUGUUGAGAUCUUUAUGUUUGUUGAAUUAUGAGUUGAUCGAGUUCAA